UACGUAGGGGGCAAGCGUUGUCCGGAUUUAUUGGGCGUAAAGAGCGUGUAGGCGGCUUUACAGGUCCGUUGUGAAAACUCGAGGCUCAACCUCGAGACGUCGAUGGAAACCAUCUGGCUAGAGUCCGGAAGAGGAGAGUGGAAUUCCUGGUGUAGCGGUGAAAUGCGCAGAUAUCAGGAAGAACACCUAUGGCGAAGGCAGCUCUCUGGGACGGUACUGACGCUGAGACGCGAAAGCGUGGGGAGCGAACAGG
rnacentral:rRNA from 1 species